UGGAAAGCAAGACUCCAGAAGAUCCAUGGUCAGGAAUGGAGACUCCUGGACGAUCUAAAGUGAGAGGAGAGAUCACUUCAGAAACCUGUUUAUGCAUUAAGAAGCCUGGAAGCAUCAUGCCAGAAUCUUGCAGCAGGAGUGGAAAAACACCAGCGAACAAGAGUUUUGAAUACUGUAUUUGGGUCUAAAACAGCUGUAUGUCAAUUUCCUUUAUUUACUUUUUAAAAAAUAAAAAGUGAAAUUGUAAAGGUUUGAUUCGUUAAGCAUAUGUAUGCAACGUACUUAAUUUCAAUUAAGAUUUGAUUAUUCGUAUUUAGUGUUGCAAUCCUUUCACCACAGCACAAGCAAGCUGUGUUUUAUUCAAUCAAUUGAUCAUUUAUUGUAUUUGACUAAAAGCCAUUACAAAUACAUUUACAAAACCAGCAAAUCCAAUAAAACCUAAUUAAGAAAGAUCCAGAAGUAAGCAACCAUUUACAAUAAAUUAAAUUAAUGAA